AUUAUGUCCACCCUUCUUAAGGGGAAAACGUGUUUGUGAUUAUGGACCCUUGCCAUAUGUUAAAAUUGGCUAGGAACAUGUUGCAGGUUUACAACUCCAUCAUCAGUACCGCAGGAACAGUUAAAUGGAAAUACAUAUCAGAGUUGAAUGAUGUUCAGGAACACGUGGGUCUUCAUGCGGCCAACAAAAUCACCAGAAAACAAAUCAUCUUUGAGGGGCAGAAGAUGGUGUCAGUGGUGGCCCAGACACUGAGUCGAUCGGUGGCGAUGGCUCCAUUCGUGUCCUUAUGGAAGCCGGAUAUCCACAGUAUAGAAUGUUCUCCUACGAUUGAAUUUCUUCAGGUAUGAUGUAGAGACAUUCAUGCACCGUGUUGAUGCCAACAUCAAAGUGUGGGAGAAUUUUAAUCGAAAAGACUAUUACUUCAAAGGCACCGUGCAUCAAGUAGCCUGUCUUCACAAUUGCCCAAACAUGGAAAUCUAUGCUAGUUUAUGAGAAGCGUCCUGAAGAGGACUGGGGACCUCAUGUGGGUGUCAUCUACAGUUUUAAUAACCUGGCUCUCUCUAAGGGAUAUGAGCUUUCAUGGUUUAUUGGCAAUGAAAGAAAAAGAAAUGUGUUUUAUGUCUUUCAGAAUUACAGGAGCUGUUUUGUUGAUAUGACAUUGCAAAACUAGGAAACCUUGAACCCUAUGAAAUCAUGAAUAGGAGUUCCAAGAAUGAUCUUAACUUUUCUCAAGAAAACAGUGCUAUUUAUGUUUUCAGUGUAUACAUUGUGGACCCAAAUUAUAGGUGCAUGUCACUUUCUUUUUAAAUAACUUUUAAAGAUAAAUAUUAAAAAGGUCAUAUUUGUUAAAUGAAA